UACGAAGGGGGCUAGCGUUGUUCGGAAUCACUGGGCGUAAAGAGCUCGUAGGCGGCUUGUCGCGUCGGCUGUGAAAACCUGGGGCUCAACCCCGGGCCUGCAGCCGAUACGGGCAAGCUAGAGUUCGGUAGGGGAGACUGGAAUUCCUGGUGUAGCGGUGAAAUGCGCAGAUAUCAGGAAGAACACCUAUGGCGAAGGCAGCUCUCUGGGACGGUACUGACGCUGAGACGCGAAAGCGUGGGGAGCGAACAGG
rnacentral:rRNA from 1 species